GAAUACUAGUCCAGUGCUACGAUCAGUAGGGGCCUUCAGGAGCUGCCGCUAGAAGGAUCUGAAAACUGGCCCUAGCCCUACGGGGCGCAGCCGCCGCGGUAAACCCCCUUGGGC
rnacentral:rRNA from 1 species